rnacentral:rRNA from 1 species
AUUGAACGCUGGCGGCAGGCCUAACACAUGCAAGUCGAGCGGAUGAAGGGAGCUUGCUCCUGGAUUCAGCGGCGGACGGGUGAGUAAUGCCUAGGAAUCUGCCUGGUAGUGGGGGAUAACGUCCGGAAACGGGCGCUAAUACCGCAUACGUCCUGAGGGAGAAAGUGGGGGAUCUUCGGACCUCACGCUAUCAGAUGAGCCUAGGUCGGAUUAGCUAGUUGGUGGGGUAAAGGCCUACCAAGGCGACGAUCCGUAACUGGUCUGAGAGGAUGAUCAGUCACACUGGAACUGAGACACGGUCCAGACUCCUACGGGAGGCAGCAGUGGGGAAUAUUGGACAAUGGGCGAAAGCCUGAUCCAGCCAUGCCGCGUGUGUGAAGAAGGUCUUCGGAUUGUAAAGCACUUUAAGUUGGGAGGAAGGGCAGUAAGUUAAUACCUUGCUGUUUUGACGUUACCAACAGAAUAAGCACCGGCUAACUUCGUGCCAGCAGCCGCGGUAAUACGAAGGGUGCAAGCGUUAAUCGGAAUUACUGGGCGUAAAGCGCGCGUAGGUGGUUCAGCAAGUUGGAUGUGAAAUCCCCGGGCUCAACCUGGGAACUGCAUCCAAAACUACUGAGCUAGAGUACGGUAGAGGGUGGUGGAAUUUCCUGUGUAGCGGUGAAAUGCGUAGAUAUAGGAAGGAACACCAGUGGCGAAGGCGACCACCUGGACUGUUACUGACACUGAGGUGCGAAAGCGUGGGGAGCAAACAGGAUUAGAUACCCUGGUAGUCCACGCCGUAAACGAUGUCGACUAGCCGUUGGGAUCCUUGAGAUCUUAGUGGCGCAGCUAACGCGAUAAGUCGACCGCCUGGGGAGUACGGCCGCAAGGUUA